UCCUCGAUAGCUCAGUUGGUAGUAGCACUUGACUGUUAAUCAAGGGGUCCCUGGUUCGAGCCUAGGUCGAGGAGCCA
rnacentral:tRNA from 1 species